rnacentral:rRNA from 1 species
CUGGAGUUCAGACGUGUGCUCUUCCGAUCUAAUCCUGUCUGAAACUGGGGGGACCACCCUCCAAUCCUAAAUACUACUUACAGAUCGAUAGUGAACAAGUACCGUGAGGGAAAGGUGAAAAGUACUCCAGCGAGGAGAGUGAAAUAGAACCUGAAACCAUUAGCUUACAAUCAUUCAGAGCCCUAUGAUUUAUCAGGGUGAUGGACUGCCUUUUGCAUAAUGAGCCUGCGAGUUGUGGUAUCUGGCAAGGUUAAGUCAAGUACGAAGCCGUAGCGAAAGCGAGUCUUAAUAGGGCGAUUUAGUCAGAUGCUGCAGACCCGAAACGAAGUGAUCUAUCCAUGAGCAGGUUGAAGCUGGUGUAAGAGCCAGUGGAGGACCGAACCCGCAGGCGUUGAAAAGUCUUGGGAUGACUUGUGGAUAGGGGUGAAAGGCCAAUCAAACUUCGUGAUAGCUGGUUCUCUCCGAAAUAUAUUUAGGUAUAGCCUUGUGUUGUAGCAUAUGGGGGUAGAGCACUGAAUGGGCUAGGGCUGCUUACCGCGGUACCAAACCCUAUCAAACUAUGAAUACUAUAUGUGGAAUCACAGGAGUCAGGCGGUGGGUGAUAAAAUCAAUCGUCGAGAGGGGAACAACCCAGACUAACAGCUAAGGUCCCUAAGUUACAUCUAAGUGGAAAACGAUGUGGAGUUACUGUGACAACCAGGAGGUUGGCUUAGAAGCAGCCAUCCUUUAAAGAAAGCGUAACAGCUCACUGGUCUAGUGAUUCUGCGCGGAAAAUAUAACGGGGCUAAGAUGUACACCGAAGCUUUAGAUUCAAUUUUUAAUUGAGUGGUAGGAGAGCGUUCUAUUCAGCGUAGAAGAUGUACCGGUAAGGAGCGUUGGAGCGGAUAGAAGUGAGCAUGCAGGCAUGAGUAGCGAUAAUUGAGGUGAGAAUCCUCAACGCCGAAAACCCAAGGUUUCCUACGCGAUGCUCGUCAUCGUAGGGUUAGUCGGGUCCUAAGUCGAGUCCGAAAGGGGUAGACGAUGGCAAAUUGGUUAAUAUUCCAAUACCAACAUAUAAGCGCGAUGUGGGGACGCAUAGAGUUAGUCGAGCUCACUGAUGGAAUAGUGGGUCGAAGGACGUAGGCUGUUACUUAGGCAAAUCCGGGUAACGUUAGGCCGAGAUCUUACAGGCUCUUGACACUCUUCGGAGGAGAUGGAGAAUCGAUGAUACUGUCGUGCCAAGAAAAGCCACUAAGUAUAUUGUAUGUUGCCCGUACCGUAAACCGACACAGGUGGGUGGGAUGAGUAUUCUAAGGCGCGUGGACGAACUCUGGUUAAGGAACUCUGCAAAAUAGCACCGUAUCUUCGGUAUAAGGUGUGCCUACUUAAGUGGAACCCCAGCGGGUGGAGCUAAGGAGGUUACAAUAAAGAGUCCCUCCCGACUGUUUAACAAAAACACAGCACUCUGCUAACUCGUAAGAGGAUGUAUAGGGUGUGACGCCUGCCCGGUGCUGGAAGGUUAAUUGAUGGUGUUAGCGCAAGCGAAGCUCUUGAUCGAAGCCCCAGUAAACGGCGGCCGUAACUAUAACGGUCCUAAGGUAGCGAAAUUCCUUGUCGAUUAAAUAUCGACCUGCAUGAAUGGCGUAACGAGAUGGGAGCUGUCUCGACCAGAAAUCCAGUGAAAUUGUAGUGGAGGUGAAAAUUCCUCCUACCCGCGGCAAGACGGAAAGACCCCGUGGACCUUUCUAUAUCGUGACUGGGAA